rnacentral:rRNA from 1 species
CACGCAAGUCGAACGGCAGCAUGAUCUAGCUUGCUAGAUUGAUGGCGAGUGGCGAACGGGUGAGUAAUACAUCGGAACGUGCCCUGUAGUGGGGGAUAACUAGUCGAAAGAUUAGCUAAUACCGCAUACGACCUGAGGGUGAAAGUGGGGGACCGCAAGGCCUCAUGCUAUAGGAGCGGCCGAUGUCUGAUUAGCUAGUUGGUGGGGUAAAGGCCCACCAAGGCGACGAUCAGUAGCUGGUCUGAGAGGACGAUCAGCCACACUGGGACUGAGACACGGCCCAGACUCCUACGGGAGGCAGCAGUGGGGAAUUUUGGACAAUGGGCGAAAGCCUGAUCCAGCAAUGCCGCGUGUGUGAAGAAGGCCUUCGGGUUGUAAAGCACUUUUGUCCGGAAAGAAAUGGCUCUGGUUAAUACCUGGGGUCGAUGACGGUACCGGAAGAAUAAGGACCGGCUAACUACGUGCCAGCAGCCGCGGUUAAUACGUAGGGUCCAAGCGUUAAUCGGAAUUACUGGGCGUAAAGCGUGCGCAGGCGGUUGUGCAAGACCGAUGUGAAAUCCCCGAGCUUAACUUGGGAAUUGCAUUGGUGACUGCACGGCUAGAGUGUGUCAGAAGGGGGUAGAAUUCCACGUGUAACAGUGAAUUGCUUAA